AGGACGAACGCUGGCGGCGUGCCUAAUGCAUGCAAGUCGAGCGACGAAUAGGUGCGGGUAACCAAGCCUAUUACGGAGCGGCGAACGGGUGAGUAACACGCGAGCAACCUGCCCCGCAGACCGGGAUAGCCCAGGGAAACUUGGAUUAAUACCGGAUAUUCUCUUCAAACCACAUGGUCCGAAGAGGAAAGCCUUUGUGCUGCGGGAUGGGCUCACGGCCUAUCAGCUGUGUGGGUAACGGCUACAAGGCGUCGACGGUAGCUGGUCUGAGAGGACGAUCAGUCCACACUGGGACUGAGACACGGCCCAGACUCCUACGGGAGGCAGCAGCAGGGAUUUGCGCAAUGGCGGAAGCCUGACGCAGCAACGCCGCGUGGGGAUGGAA
rnacentral:rRNA from 1 species